UUCACUAUAAAUUAUUUAAGUCCUUCUCAGCUGUUUGAAUGCUUGUUUCAGGUUAGGCUUUACAAGGAUUUGUUAAUUUGUUUCUAGUACUGCCAGAAUGCAUCAGGCCCCUUUCCAGCUAGAAGGAGACAUGCUGCUUGCUCCCCAGGCUGUAACGUGAAGAAUGUUUGCUUUUACUGCCCAUGAUUUCUUUCUGGCUGCUGCACCUCUGCUGAAAUUUUUGUGGCACAGAUGGUUCCCUGGUAAUUUGUGUGCACAUCCUUUCAGAAAUAUGUUCCUCCAGGAGAGCUUUUCUCUCAGCGACACCUGUGUGAUAGAGCCUGCGAGUUGUUGCUGUGACCUUUGUACGCGUUACUAUGAUAAGGAGCUCUUCUGGAGGAAAGCAGGCCUAGUGCUUUGGACACCCAGGGGCCUUUGGAAAAGCCUUCGGCCCAGCUACUCGGAGGGAGGCACGGUGCCGUUUGCAGCUGGACUCCACAGGCUGGAUAAUGUUUGCUAGGGUAAAUAUUUAGAAAUUAGGCACAGGAAUUCAGGAGUACAAAUAGACUAAAGUAUAUAGUUAUGGAAGGCGCUGUAUCGCUCAUUUUGAGGACUCGGUUACGGAGGCAUCUCCACCCAUGCCAGGACUACUGCGAGCUGAUUUCUAGAGGAGCAGAGGGCUCAGAUGAGGGAUGUGUGCCUCUCUCCCAUCUUCUCUGUGGAAAGUGUCAGGCUGUCGGAUGUCAGAAAAGGGGCUUUUGGUUUCCAAAAGGGGGAAUAGCAAACCGCUCUGAAGAAAGAGCAGCAGCAGACCUUACAAAGUGUUCCUGUGUCUUCAGACCAUCUUUUAAACACAACUGGGAAAAAAAAAGUUUAAAUAUUACUUUUUACAUAAGAAACAGACUAUAAAUUGUGCUUGUUCUUUAUUUUGGCACUGGGACUGCAUAUAGACCAUGUCAUAUUGCCUUCAUAAAUUAAUCCAAAACAAUUAGCUGCAAUUUACUUUCAAAUUUUGGUAACUCUAUUUUCCAUAUGUGUCCCCAGCUUCUAUUAGUAGGAAAAGUCUAGUUAUACAAACUCUAGUUUAUGAGAGGAAAAACUGAAUUAUGAAGACAUUUUUACUGGGAGUCUGAUGUGUUUGUUUACUUUCCUGGUCAAAUGAGUAGCAUGAAACUGGUCAUUUAAAAAUAAAACAGAACAGAAAAACACAAACAAACAAAGGAAGAACAGCGCUUGUUGCUUUUUUCAGUGUCCUUCUCGGAUUGUGCAUGUAAUAACACAUAAAACUAGGCAUAUUUCCAUAGCUGCCAUUCUAGAGUGAACAAAGCUUGUUAUUAGAUGUCUAGUCUAGUUUGUCUGAUUUAAAUUUCAGUCGGGGGGAUGAGUGCA